UAUCUCUCUCUUGGAUAUAGUCACACCUAUUCCUCCAUUUUGCUGUUUGAUUUUCCUGUGUAAUAAAACACAUGACAUGUUUUUGUACUCCUCUUACCCACUAAGUAAAGCUAUGUUUGUAAAUGGAAGUCUCAAAAGUUUUUGUUUCUACCUUUUGGUAUGAUAGAUUAGUACAUGGUGUUGGUCAUGUGAACAGAUGAUGUCCAUUCUCCUUCUGAUAGAUCAGUAAAUGGAAUUAUUAUGUACAGAUGAGCCUUCCAAGCUGAAUAUUUGAGUGCUCUUCUUGUUAAAAAAAAUAGUUCACAAGAGAGGGUUGACACCUGGAGCUGUUUGGCAUCAAAUUUAGAAGAUACACAUCCUAAGAUUGAAACAAUGCUACCUAAACCAAAGGGUUGUACGCCCACCAUUAUUAAUACACAUAUCUCUCCUCCUCAUGCAUCCUCUCUCCUCGUCACAUCUGGUCCGACAAGAAUGCGACGACGGCGACGGCGACAUCUCCUGACGAUGGCAGUGGGGUGGGCGAGGUUGCAAGGCGAUGACCCGAGGCAGCGAUGCAGGAGAAGCUCGGGGGCCUCAUGGGUUGGGGAGAUGGCUUGGGGUCCUCAUGGAUUGGUGAGAUGGAGCCCCCCCGAGUUUCUUUGAUCGAUCUGUGAUCUGGUCAAGGCCACGGCAGCAUGGGCGAGGGGCAGAGGCGAGCGACCCUCUGCAGCCGCGCACGUCGACAGUUACUUGUGGAGGGUAUAAGAAGAAUUUUGAGGAAGAGUUUGAUCAAGAAGACCAAGGCAAAGAGAAAAUGAGGUCGAAUCCUAACACUGGAAGGUUCUUGCCUUCUUGGCACCAAAUCAUCGAAGGGGAUGUGUUGUUGUACAUGAGGUGUUAAUAAAGUUUCACAUUCUUUGUUCUGUUGGAUUUAGUGUGUUGGGUUUCCAUGUAUGAUGUAUUUAUUUUUCUUUGAUUGCUCUGGUGUUUUUGGUCCAAAUUGAUCACGCAGGGCCUAGGAUUUUGUCAAGUUUUUUGUCAGGUUAUUCUAUGUAUAGUACUGUACUUCUAUGUGUUGUUUCCUUCAAGCUGUCAUUGAAACAGAAGAUGAAGGGUGUCUUCGUGAUUAGUAGACCAGUGUGUGAUGCCGCGUGCUGUAGUUAUAUUGCUACACACAUAUGGGAAAGAAAUGCAAGUAUUGUGGUUCUGAUGAUGUCUGAGUGUAUCUUGUGUAUGUGCAGAUAAGAAGCCCUGUUCAAAAGUGCUUUAUAGAUGUCCUGUAGGCUUUCUAGACAUACAUGU